rnacentral:rRNA from 1 species
GACGAACGCUGGCGGCGUGCCUAAUACAUGCAAGUAGAACGCUGAAGGAGGAGCUUGCUUCUCUGGCUGAGUUGCGAACGGGUGAGUAACGCGUAGGUAACCUUCCUGGUAGCGGGGGAUAACUAUUGGAAACGAUAGCUACUACCGCAUAAUAGCAGUUAUUGCAUGAUAACUGUUUGAAAGGUGCAAUUGCACCACUACCAGAUCGACCUUCGUUGUAUUAGCUAGUUGGUGGGGUAACGGCUCACCAAGGCGACGAUACAUAGCCGACCUGAGAGGGGGAUCGGCCACACUGGGACUGAGACACGGCCCAGACUCCUACGGGAGGCAGCAGUAGGGAAUCGUCGGCAAUGGACGGAAGUCUGACCGAGCAACGCCGCGUGAGUGAAGAAGGUUUUCGGAUCGUAAAGCUCUGUUGUAAGAGAAGAACGAGUGUGAGAGUGGAAAGUUCACACUGUGACGGUAUCUUACCAGAAAGGGACGGCUAACUACGUG